CAGUCAGCCUCCGCUUUCAUCCCAGAGCAGUCCACGGGGGCCUUAAAGGAAUGUAGGCUGGGUGAAGUUGGCCCAGUGACACCUGCGUUCAGAAAAACGUUCUUUCCGCUCCCAACGCCCCCUCUCCACCGCCACCCGACCCCCGAAAUAGUUUUCCCCGAGUGUUGUGGAUAGAACUGUUGAUCUCUUGGAAAAGUUAUUGUAUCCUGCCAUCCUUCCCUCUGGAGACUCCACUUAAUAUAUAUAAGUACUUUCUUUCCUGUAUAUGAUGGAAGAGUAUUAGGGGGGUGAGGGGAGGGACGAAGCUGCCUUCUUUAGGGAAAAAAGAUUGACUUAUAUUUUGAAAGAUGCAAAAGCUGGUGUUUUUGCUACUGAAUUAAUAGCCUAUUAAUAUGCCACAAAUGAUAUAUUGGAACUGUAUUUUCAAACAUUUAACGCCUGCUGUAUGCAAAGCACUAUGCUGACAGCUUAAGGGUACCACAAUGAUAAAUUACACCAAUCUUGUUUUUGGCAUUUUGGGGAGUCUAGUGUCAUAGGUAAAGAAGUACAUAACUAACAAUAAGCUUCAAAAAUUCAAUCAUAAGGCCCGGCACCGUGGCUUCCGCCUGUAAUCCCAGCACUUUGGGGGAUCACUUGAGCCCCGGAGUGUGAGACCCCGUCUCUACCAAAAAAAAAAAGAAAUUAGCUGGGCAUGGUGGUGCCUGCCUGUGGUCCCAACUGUUUGGGAGGCUGAGGCCGGAGGAUCACUUGACCCCAGGAAUCUGAGCCUGCAGUGAGCUAUGAUUGCACCACUGCACUCCAGUCUGGGCGACAGAACCAGACCAUGUCUAAAAAGAAAAAACACUCAGUGAUAAUUUCACAUUACAGUUUGAGAGGUUCCUGUUGACUUGGGGAAACUAGUUUUAGCAGACUUCAUUAAAGGAGUGUACACCUUACUACAGGAUGUAAUUUAAAAUAGAAUGUUUAAAUAAUAAAUUCACUUCUGGGUAUAUACUCAAAGCAGGAAUUCAAACAGGUAUUUGUACACCAAAGUUCGUAACAGCAUUAUUCACAGUAGCCAAAAUGUGGAAACAACCCAAAUGUCCAUUAAAGGAUGAAUAAACAAAAUGUGAUAUACAUACAAUGGAAUAUUCAGCCUUUAUUUUUCCAAUCAGAGUUUCAGGAAAAUCAACCUUUAAAAGGAGUGAAAUUCUGACAUUUGCUGCCACAUGGAUGAAUCUUGAUGAUGAUAUGCUGAGUGAUAUAUAAUCAGUCACGGAAGGACAAAUACUGCAUGAUUCAAUUUAUAUCAGGUAGUGCUUUGCUAAUGACUGACCGGUGUGGAUGUAUAAAAGUCCAGCUCCGUGAUCUCAGACUUCCGGCCUCCAGAACUCAGGCCCUGACAUUGUAUAAGCUUCAGGCCCCACAAAACCUGGAUCUGCCCUGCCAGGAUCAGCAUCUAGAGGAAAACUACUACUUCCACAAUAGCACAACCAAUCUGAUCAUCCCUGCAUCAGUGAGCAUUCUCCAGAGAAACAGAGCCAACAGGAUAUGUGUAUAUAUGUGAAGAAAGACUUAUUUUAAGGAGUUGGCUCAUGCAAUUAUGGAGGUGCAAGUCCAAAAUCUGUAGGGCAGGCAGAUGGGCAGACUGGAGACCCAGAGAAGAGUUGCAGUUCAAGUCCAAAGUCGGUUGGAAGAAUUCCCUCUUGCUGGGUAACACUGGGGAAGCAGGAGUAGAUGGAAAGGGGAGGUGUCAGGCUUUGCUCUACCAAGGACUUCAACUGAUUGGAUGAGGCCCAGUAACAUUAUGGAGGGAAACCUGCUUUGCUCAGAGUUUACUGAUUUAAAUAUUAAUCUCAUCCACAAAAAAAUAAAUAACCUUCACAGAAACAUUUAGAAUAUUUGACCAAAUAUCUAAGUCCCAUGGCUCAGACAACUUAACACAUAAAAUUAUCCAUCACAAUUCCAUUAUCCCAAUACAGGUCGGCAGGGCCUUGGGCAGGUGGUAACCUCAGCUCUGGAGUCUACAGCAAUACUCUCACACUUAACAGAUGUAGUUCUGUGGGUCCAGGUCCCACUUCGCAAGAGAGAAUCUGAUGGGCUAAUUUCGACCAAGUCUCCUUUCCUAGUUCAAUCACGUGUAAGGGUUAGAGAAAGGGUUGGGCUCACAAGGGACUUAGGGCUGCCUCUCUGGACUUGGGAGAGCAGGACUUCUCAAGAGAUAAAUGGUUAGAGAGUAAUAUAAUUUGGAUAUUUGUCCCCUAUAAAUCUCAUGUUGAAAUUUGAUGUUCAAUGUUGAGGGCAGGUCUGGGACCUCCCUCCCUGCUUUUGCUCCCCCUCUCGCCAUAUGGCACAACUGCUCCCUUCACCUUCUGCUAUGAAUGGAAGCUUCCUGAGGCCUUCACCAAAAGCGGAGGCUGGUACCAUGCUUCACGCACAGCCUGCAGAAUCAUGAGCCAAAUAAACUACUUUUCUUUAUAAAUCAUCCAGUUUCAGGUAUUCGCUUAUAGCAACACAAAAUGGACUAAUACAGAGAGGAAAUAUUUUGAGCACAUUGAAGGCCCCAAAAUAUUGAGCUUUUUUUUUUUAACCUAUAUAGUACUUUUCUUGCAUCUCAGUUUGCUUAUCUAUAGAAUGAGGAUUAAUAAGACCUACCAACUUCAGGGGGUCAUUCUGGUGAGAUAAGUGAAAAAAUUUGUAAAGAAGUGUAUAAAUUUACCAUUGUUUUUUAAAACUAAAAUGAUCUCUAACACUAAGUUGAUGAUCUGAUCACAAAGAUGGGGUAGAUGAAAUGAAGAGAAAAGGUUUCUGACAUUUGUAUACUUAGAAAUGUAUCCAGGCUGGGCAUGGUGGUCCAUACCUGUAAUCCCAGCACUUUGAGAGGCCAACGCAGGAGGGUCACUUGAGGCCACGAGUUCAAAACCAGCCUGGCCACAUUGAGAGGUGACAGUGUGUUGGCAGUCCUCACAGC
rnacentral:lncRNA from 1 species